UACGUAGGGUGCGAGCGUUAAUCGGAAUUACUGGGCGUAAAGCGUGCGCAGGCGGUUGGUUAAGUCUGAUGUGAAAGCCCCGGGCUCAACCUGGGAAUGGCAUUGGAAACUGGCUGGCUAGAGUGUGGCAGAGGGGGGUGGAAUUCCGCGUGUAGCAGUGAAAUGCGUAGAGAUGUGGAGGAACACCGAUGGCGAAGGCAGCCCCCUGGGCUAGCACUGACGCUCAGGCACGAAAGCGUGGGGAGCAAACAGG
rnacentral:rRNA from 1 species